GCCUUUGCAUCAUUGAUCAAUUCAUUGUUUCUCUUUUGUUUUCUGGCAAUUAGACAGAGAUAUAGCUCGUUUUUUUACUAAUCUAAGCAAUCAGCUGUUUAUUGGCAUUUGAUAUUUGAGCCGGUGACAUAACUUUCAAAACAAGAGUUUUCCUGGAUUUCUAAAAUAUCCAGUAUUUUGGAUAAAUCGUAGUAUGUCGCAGACCAUCUGCACAAGGGGAAUCUCCCAAAGUGCUCGACUGGGUCACCGAUUGAUUAAGUUCCGAUAUGGGCCUAAUAGGAACCAGCAAGCCCCAGCAGGUUCCCAAACUAUUAGACAAGGAGCUUCCAAAUCAACGUCUUCAAGUAGCCAGGAGCCAAUUUGGGAUUUUCAAAUCCCAGUCCGCUGGAGGCGAGCCCCACUUAGUGAAGAAGAAUGCGCUGUUAUUAACAAUGGAGGACCAGUGUAGAUGAACAUGUUUUAAUUCUAGUAUUUAUUACGAAUUUUACUUGUAGCUUAACCAUUGUUCAUAUGCUUAUUAUUAAAUAUACUAUGUAUGUAAA
rnacentral:lncRNA from 1 species